GCAGAUUUCCUGUUCUUCAUAGGGAAAUCAGGUUAAAACCUGAGAAGGCUUGCAAGGUGAUCAUAGCAUGUGCUGUCCUUCACAACAUAUGCAAGGACAGAAACAUUCCAUUACCACCCACAGAUGGGCAUGAUGGAUUUGGAAGGCAUGAUGGGCAGAAUAGAGGUCUACCAGGAAUCACUACACCAGUGGCUGCACUGAGAUAUAGAGAGCACUUCGCCAAUACAAACUUUCCAUAGCUUCCACUGUGUGGCAUCUUGGAGCAUCUGGAUGGACUGCUGGCUCCUCAGGACCCAUUCUGGCUCCCUCUGGCUGUGGA
rnacentral:lncRNA from 1 species